CGUAGGUGACGAGCGUUGUCCGGAAUUAUUGGGCGUAAAGGGAGCGCAGGCGGUUGGAAUAGUCUGAUGUGAAAGCCCACGGCUUAACCGUGGAAGGUCAUUGGAAACUGUCCAACUUGAAUACAGAAGAGGUAAGUGGAAUUCCAAGUGUAGCGGUGAAAUGCGUAGAUAUUUGGAGGAACACCAGUGGCGAAGGCGACUUACUGGUCUGUAAUUGACGCUGAGGCUCGAAAGCGUGGGUAGCAAACAGGAUU
rnacentral:rRNA from 1 species